GUAACUCCGAUUGCGACGAAACGAAGAAUGUUUUCGACAAGAUUCAAAUGAUAACAUAAUGGACGGAGGAGUGGGCGAUAAUUAGGCAUAAUGGCAAUGUACAACAAUGAUCAGAGCCUUCGCGCGAUGUGCUAGAGUGAAGGGGCGAUGUGCUGUUGAUGUCCGGUGAGGCUCGCCUUCAGAGCAGAGCACGAAGAGCUUAAUGUGCUGGGAGAGCUGGGGCAGAUGCAUAGCUCAUGGUGGUUGAGGAGAUUUGGACGGUGUGGGAAAGUUUCCAGAGGUGGAGAAUUGGUCGACAGUUGAGGAGCUGGAGGCGAUACGAAGAACCCCAAAGAAGCCUGCUAUUCCGGCAAGACUCACAGAUCUGAAGCUUGGGAAGGGUGGACCAUUCCGGUGAUGGGCGACGGUACAAUAGGUGAGCAACAGGAGAGGCAUCGGAUCUGGAUUAAAGGUAAUUAUUUAAAUUUUAUAUAUAUAUAGAGAGAGAGAGAGAUUUCAUAUUUAUUUUGAUAUAAUAUCUAAAAAUAAGUAUUUAAAAUUUAAAUACUCAAUUAUAUAUAACUAAAUAUCCUUUUUUUAUUAUUUGAGGAGCAUUAUUUUAAACUAACCUUGACCUCAUGUGUUAUUAACCAAAUUGCCAUUUCUUAGGUGUCAACACUAGAAUCACUCUCACACCCUUUAAUUAAAAGCCCUCUCCUCAUUAGACUAAUUACAUAUAUUGACAUUAUUCAUUACAAUAUAGCUUAACAUAAUAUAUUAUAUGAUUCCUAUCUAUAUAACUGAUAACCCAUUUCUCACGCGGCCUCCUUCGUAUUGAUAGAAUGUCUCUUUUAUUAUUGAUUUUUGUAGUCUCCUUAGGUUUCUAUAUCCAUCAAGUAGAUACAAAUAUAUUUUAGUAAAAGUAGUAUAACACAGGUUUUAGUUCAAGAAAUAUUUCUCAUCUAUCUCGAGACGCCUAUCAUCUUUAUGAUAUAUAAGUACAAAUAAAAAUCGAAUAUAGCUCGAAACGCCUAUCAUCUUUGAGAAUAUAGAAAUCUCAAGUAUAAAUUUGUUUUUGUAUAAGUAUGAAUGUUCAUCUCACUUAAAUGAUAUCAACUAUAAGGCAAUUUCAAUAUUUUCAAAAUGUAGAAGGAGCUAUAUGACUGCUUGCUCGAUACGGUUUGUAUUAAUAUUUUUUAUUUCAGAAGUCCUUAUUGUCCAAUGGUCAUAUGUUAAUUUUUUUUAUAUCAACCUUGUAUAUAAAGAAAGUUAGAUUAUGUAUUCAGAUUUUAAAAAUUAUAUCACAUGAUUUUGUUGUUUAAAUAUCAUCCCGAAAUCGAAGGUGAUAUCGUUACAAGUGUUUAAAAAUAAAGUGAAUUGAUUACAUCAUUUGUGUAUGAUAGUAUUUACCUAAUUUGAUCUUCUUUGAUUUAUUAUUAUCGUGUAUUAAGGCAAGCUUUUGAAGGAGAUUAAAGCGCAAAUUUUGUGAUAAUAAUUAGUGAAUAUUUUAUAUAAUUAGGGUGAGAUUGAUUUUAGAAGAUUAAUUUAACGUAUAUAAAUACGUAGCCUUGAGUUCUUUGUUAUUUCUCUUUCUAAGAUUGCAAACCUAGAGUUCUAAAGACAUUUUUCACAUUAGUUGUGAUUUUAUCAGUUUUUUUAUUUGUUUCUUUAUAAUUUGUUGCUUUUGUAUUUUAUUAUUCUAUUACCUAUGUUUCGUUUCAUAUUAUCAUAAUUUUUAUUAUGAAAGUAAUAAUUAUAUUCCUAUGUGUUGUUUUAUCUUAAACUUAUAAUAAAUUUAUUUAAAUAUUUGCUUACGCUUAAAGAUUUAUUUCCAUAUAAUAUACUUCAAUUACACCUAACCAAUUACGGUAUAUAAAUCCGCAUAAUUUCGUUCUAUUUUUUUUAUAUAUAAUAUUUGUGACUAUAUAUUUUUACUUUAUAAUAUCUAUAGACUAAAAGUAAUAAUCUCUUUUAAUCACUCAUUCCGCGCAGGGCGCGGGUUAUCACCUAGUGACUUUAUUACAAAAGAAAGAUUUGGUGACUAACAAAACCUAUGCGUGUGUGAUCUCCACACUACAAACUUUCACAACUUCUCUUUUGUUAUUAGUAAAGGACUAAUGAGAUGUUAUUUAACGAGUGUGGAUCGAUGGAGGUGGAGCGUCUGGACAUAUUUCGUCACAUCGGCAGUAACGCUUGAUCUUACGUAACAUGUAGACGUUGUCACAUGUGCAAUUAAAAUAGGUACCGUUAUAAGUUGUCGACAUAUACUUCUCACACGCUUUCGGUCCAUCAACUUUGCAGUUUCCUUCGAUAUCUUCUAUUCUUGGACAUAUAUUAUCUGGAUCAACUUCCACCAAAAAAAAAACUUAUCUGGAUCAACUUCUUCUCUAAUUUUAUAUGAACCACACACAUCAAAAAAAAAAUGUUAGCUGGUGGUUAAAGAUAUUUAGAAGAAAAAAAUUAGAGUGCAACAUUUUGCGACUUGUGACAAAAACAUUAUCGAAAGGAAAUGAAUAGAGCUAUACCUUUAGGUCCUUUACCAUCAGUUAUUACGAGAACGAUGAGAAGACAAGAAACUAUACACCAAGUAGCAGAUCUCAUGGUUAAAGAUAGAGAUACUAUAACUUGUGUGUUCUCUUGUGAAAGUAUUUGUAAUCUACGUAAACACACUCGUAACAAAUAAACUUAAAACACACAUUAAAAUAGAUAAUACUAUGUUUAGAAACAUAUACUUCGUGUAAUUCAACGUGUUGGAUAACUAAUUCCACGGGAUCAAUCUUAAUUUUUAGUUAAUUUCUUCUUAGAAAAUUCAAGUGUUUAUUUCCACAUUUUUCUGUGUAUAUAUGUACCAUUGUAUAUACGUUUAAAAUAAGAUUUUUUUUUUUUGAACAUCCCUUACUUAUUAAAGGAGGAACACUCAUAGAAAUAAACUUUGGCCUCAUGUGUUUAUUACAUGAGUGUCAUUUCCUAUGUGUCAUCACCUCAUACACUCUCACUAACUUUUUUAAAAAACCCUUUGUGAACUAGAAUAAUUACAACCAAAUGCCAUUGGUCAUAUACAUUAUACUAUAUGAUUACAAUCCGAUUUGAAAAAAAAAACGGGAAUUUAUGACAGACAGAAUAUUAACUCUUUUGUAAAAGGCAACAAAAUAAGUUCGACAUCUAUCAAAUCGUUUGGUUAUUUGGUCAAAUCUUAGAGUCAAGAUUCCUUUAUAUUUGUUUCUUUCUUAAUUGUAAAACUUUCCAAUUUUAAAAAUAUAGACUAAAAGUUAGGGAUUAUUAGUACUAAAUGUAAGAGAGUAUUCGUUUGUUUCGAAUUUGGGUGAAAUUAACCCUGACUAUGGGGUACUAUAUAUAAAUCACCUGAUCUUCCUCACCCACCCCACUUCAAUAAAAUUGCAUUGGUCAUUUUACUUAAUCACACAUGAAAUGGGACCAUUUGAAGUAGUUUAUUAUUAUGUUAGAAUCAUAAUCAUAAAUUUUCGGUCCGGUUAUAUAUAACGUGGACUAUAAGCUAUAUAUAUAACGUAGAUUUUGCUAAAUAUAUAUAACGUGGACUAUAAGCUUAUUUCCGGUCCGGUUAUCUGCAAUGCAAAGAUCUAUCUAUUUUUUAAAAAAUGUCAUAUAUUCCGGUAAAUAUAAAAAUCGUAAAUAUAAAAAUCUAUUUAAGCGGACAGUAUUUGUAUGAAAAUUAAUCAAUGAAUCAUAAUCAUAAGUAUUGAAGAAUAUUUAAAAUUAAUGAAUGUGUUUAACUAUAUAUGGCAUUAUUUCCUGUUAUAUAUUCACAAAUUAGGAGUCAAAGAAGCAUUAUAGGAAAAUUUUAACUUAGGCCAGUAUAUAUAUAUGGAAAUUGGAACAAUUUGUAAGUGUCUAACACCAAUUUAGACCAACGAUUUGUUGAAUAAUUAUUUUCAGAGUUGAUCAUGUAUUUUAAUUUCGUCAAUUACGUCAAUAAGUAUUAAUAUAUUUAUGGAGAUUGAUUAUUCUCCGCAAGAGUAAUUGUUGUAUCAACAAGUAAUUGAAAAACUAGACUAAAUAUGGAUAACGUAUUUACUCAAUCGUAAUGACUCAGUCCGGUGCGGUUUAUAUAGGAAAGUAACUAAUAAUUUUUCAAAAAUAUUAUGGUAAGUCAAUAAAUAUACAAAUAAUAUUUUUAAUUUUUUUGAAUGCUUAUAAUCUCGCGGAACAAAUUUCUUGAUGUAAUCCUUAUGCACUUAAUCCUACCAAUUAUAACUAUAUAUAUCAUACAUAACUUUGACACACCGUAUCACAAUCAACUUGCUACAAAACAAGCAUAUAAAAUUUGAGAGCUAUGAAUUUCAUCUCUGACUUUUUAUUCAAAGAAAACCAGGAGAAAGUUUUAUCAGUUUUGUUUUGUUUCUUUAUAACUUAUUUCAUGUAGCAUUUUAUUAUCAUAUUGCCUAUGUUUAAUUUUAUUGUAUAUUCAUAAUUUAUAUUAUGAAAAUAAUAAUUAUAUUUCUUAUGUUUUGUUUUAUCUUAAAUAAAUAAUAAAUUUAUGUAAGUCCUUCUUAUUUUUAUAGAUUUAACUCCAUCUGUUUUUACGAACGGAAAUAAUGGUAUCAUCGACCACAAAAUCCGUUUUUUCGUACUACACAUCCGGUAAGUAUUCAACAUCUCUAAAAAGAAAGAUAUACAUUUGUAUAGUAUCACAUGGUUUGAACCCUUCUUUUUUUUCUUUUACAGUAACGUCGUCAUUAAGUGUCGCUUAUGGUGCACUUGCUCAUGUUUUCAAUGAUUUAUGGAAUUCUAUAGAUGCAGACAUAGUAUUAUAUGUAUUUUACAGUGUUGGCAAAUUAAUUGGGGACAAAGUAAUCUAUUGUAUUUAUUUUAUAUACAAUCGAUUAAUAGGAGCUGAUAUUAUAUUUAUAUUUUGCUAAUAUUUGACAUAUUUCAUAAUAAGGCCGACUUAAGAGGGUUACUAACAUUGAUGGGAUUUCCAAAAUUGUCUUCGACCCCAUUGGUGUUCCAGAAAUUGAUGUUUUAAGAUUGAGGUAAUACAUGCAUUCACAUAUUUUGUUAAAUAAUAUUUUUAAAUUCUCUAGAUAAUCUCUUUGCUAUUGCUCAUAAUAGGAUUGCAAACGAAGACUUCUGAAUGCAUUAUUGACAGCAGUUAUUUUGUCUCUAUUUUUAAUUUUCUUUUGUUUUUUAUACAUUGUUCCUUUUAUAUUUUAUUAGACUAUUGCUUAUGUUUCAUUUAAUAUUAUAUUUAUAAUUUACCCGCAUGCAAACAAAUAUACAAUUUAAUUUUAAUGGCCAUCGCAUAUAAAUUUAUAUUUACAUACUAAAAUUCCUCGCUAUAAUCCAUACUUUCUUAGAUAUAUUUUUUUUACUAUGCCUUUAACUUUUAUUAUGUCUACAUAUUAAAAGUUAUAAUACUUUAAUAAUCUCCUCGCUCCGCGCAGGGCGCGGAUUAUAACCUAGUCAAUACUAUUAAAACAGAAGGAGUCCUAAAAAAUCUACUUAUGAAAGUUGUUUACACCUAUUCAUUUUUAGUCUAACAUAUUACUUUUUUUUUUUUUUGAACACAAUCUAACAUAUUACUUAUAACCAAAUAUUAUAACUAACCCCAAAUAUAGCAACCAAAUAAUGUCUUUAACAUUUAAAAAUCUACUUUAACUCACUCAGCCUUUUAUUUUUCUUUCAAUAUACCACUUGACUAUACAACAUUUAAUAUAAAUCAUAUCAUAUGUUUCAAAUAAUUCACUCAACCUUUUGUUUAAACCAACUUCCUACAUUACUUGAUAUAAACGAUACUAAAAACUUUAACACAUAGGGUCAGGGAAAAACGUCAAUAAAAUCCCAAACUUAACAAAAUAAGCUAAAAAAAGCCUCAACUUUUAAGUAAACCAAAAUAUUCCCAAACUUUAAAAAAAAUUCCAAAAUAAUCAUAAACUUAUGUUUGACUCUGUCAUUUUAAGCAUCCCCAAGUCAACUGUUAACUUUUUAUAAACUUCCGUUAAUUAAUAAACCAAACCUAUACUUUUAGGUCGGUUUCAUUAUAUCAAAUAUUUGCGAUAGGUAAGGUCAUGUUAAAUAUAUAUUAAUCAAACCAAACCUAUACUUUUAGGUCGGCUUCGGUUUAUUUUUUUGGUCGGGAUAAAAUGUCCAGACCUAAGAGAAAGUUAUAUAAGAGUGCACAUAUAAAAUCUCGAAUAAACUAAUUCAUAGAUUAUAUAAUUUUUAAAAAAAUUCUCUUCUUUGAUAUAAUAUGAUUUUGUAUUAUAAUAUAAUCCGAAAAACCCGCGCUUUCGAAGCGCGGGUCAAAAUCUAGUAAUACCUUUAAUACUCAAUUAUAUAUAACUAAAUAUUAAUAUCUUAUGUUUUCUUUUUAAAUUUUAGAUUUUAUUUCAGGUAUAUCAAACCGAACCGAUAAAACCCGAAUCUGAA
rnacentral:lncRNA from 1 species